UACGGAGGGGGCAAGCGUUGUUCGGAAUUACUGGGCGUAAAGGGGCGCGCAGGCGGCUGCUCAAGUCAGGCGUGAAAGGCCUGGGCUCAACCCGGGAAUUGCGCUUGAGACUGGGCUGGCUUGAGUGCGGGAGAGGAUGGUGGAAUUCCCAGUGUAGAGGUGAAAUUCGUAGAUAUUGGGAAGAACACCGGUGGCGAAGGCGGCCAUCUGGACCGCAACUGACGCUGAGGCGCGAAAAGCGUGGGGAGCAAACAGGG
rnacentral:rRNA from 1 species